UACGUAGGGGGCGAGCGUUGUCCGGAAUGACUGGGCGUAAAGGGCGUGUAGGCGGUCUGAUAAGUCUGGAGUGAAAGUCCCGCAUUUAAUGUGGGAAGGGCUUUGGAUACUGUUGGACUUGAGUGCAGAAGAGGUAAGCGGAAUUCCCAGUGUAGCGGUGAAAUGCGUAGAGAUUGGGAGGAACACCAGUGGCGAAGGCGGCUUACUGGGCUGUAACUGACGCUGAGGCGCGAAAGCGUGGGGAG
rnacentral:rRNA from 1 species